rnacentral:rRNA from 1 species
GAUGGCGGAAGGGAACCACGCGUACCCAUCCCGAACACGACCGUUAAGCCUUCCAGCGCCGAUGGUACUUGGAUCGAAGGAUCCUGGGAGAGUAGGACGUUGCCAAGC